rnacentral:rRNA from 1 species
UACAGAGGGUGCGAGCGUUAAUCGGAAUUACUGGGCGUAAAGCGCGCGUAGGCGGCUUUGCAAGUCGGGUGUGAAAUCCCCAGGCUUAACCUGGGAACUGCAUUCGAGACUGCAUUGCUAGAGUAUGGGAGAGGGAAGUGGAAUUUCCGGUGUAGCGGUGAAAUGCGUAGAUAUCGGGAGGAACACCAAAGGCGAAAGCACUCUGCUGGGCCGCGACUGACACUGAGAGACGAAAGCGAGGGGAGCAAAUGGG